UACGUAGGAGGCAAGCGUUGUCCGGAAUUACUGGGCGUAAAGCGCGUGUAGGUGGUGGGACAAGUCUGCUGUGAAAGCGCCUGGCUUAACCGGGCGAGGUCGGCGGAAACUGUCCGACUAGAGGACGGUAGAGGGGGGUGGAAUUCCCGGUGUAGUGGUGAAAUGCGUAGAGAUCGGGAGGAACACCUGUGGCGAAGGCGGCCCCCUGGGCCGGCCCUGACACUGAGACGCGAAAGCUAGGGGAGCAAACAGG
rnacentral:rRNA from 1 species